rnacentral:rRNA from 1 species
AUUGAACGCUGGCGGCAUGCCUUACACAUGCAAGUCGAACGGUAACAGGCCGCAAGGUGCUGACGAGUGGCGAACGGGUGAGUAAUGCAUCGGAACGUGCCCAGUAGUGGGGGAUAGCCCGGCGAAAGCCGGAUUAAUACCGCAUACGACCUGAGGGUGAAAGGGGGGGAUCGCAAGACCUCUCGCUAUUGGAGCGGCCGAUGUCAGAUUAGCGAGUUGGUGGGGUAAAGGCCUACCAAGGCAACGAUCUGUAGUUGGUCUGAGAGGACGACCAGCCACACUGGGACUGAGACACGGCCCAGACUCCUGCGGGAGGCAGCAGUGGGGAAUUUUGGACAAUGGGCGCAAGCCUGAUCCAGCAAUGCCGCGUGCAGGAAGAAGGCCUUCGGGUUGUAAACUGCUUUUGUCAGGGAAGAAAUCUUCUGGGUUAAUACCUCGGGAGGAUGACGGUACCUGAAGAAUAAGCACCGGCUAACUACGUGCCAGCCGCCGCGGUAAUAC